rnacentral:lncRNA from 1 species
AUUUAAGGUUUAUUUAAUGGCCCCGCCCCACACUGCUUCCUCACUGCAGAUGCAGUGUGACCAGCUACCUCAUACUCCUACCACCACGCCUUCAACUCCGAGCCUUCCUGGCCACACCUUCACGGCCACGCCUUCAUGGCCAUGCCCUCCUGACCACGCCUUCCCUACCACUCCUUCCUGGCUAUGCCUUCCUGGCCACACCUUCCCCAUCUCGCUUUCCCCACAGUGAUGUGGACUGUCCUGUGGGGCUGUGGCCCAGAAUAAAGCCUUCUUCCCUUAACAGACUUCUUGUCAGGCAUCUGGUCACAGCCAUGAGCGGCUACUGCACCGUCUGUCUGCCCUUGCUCACAGAGAAACUGUCGCCCCUGCGGAUUCGGAAGGAUUGCCGAUGCUGUAGCUGGUUCCCAGGAGCAAAUCCUCCACAGGGGAAAGGUAACUCUCGAAGCAUGAUCAUGUUCCUGCAUCUGUCAUCGAUGUCACACAACUGAUCAGGUCUGCUGUCACCAUGAAGCCAUCAGACACGAGCGGUGAGCGCAAAAAGGAUCAAGUGGCUGAGG